AGGGCGCACGGUGGAUGCCUUGGCACUAGAAGCCGAUGAAGGACGUUACUAACGACGAUAUGCUUUGGGGAGCUGUAAGUAAGCUUUGAUCCAGAGAUUUCCGAAUGGGGAAACCCAGCAUGAGUUAUGUCAUGUUAUCGAUAUGUGAAUACAUAGCAUAUCAGAAGGCACACCCGGAGAACUGAAACAUCUUAGUACCCGGAGGAAGAGAAAGAAAAUUCGAUUCCCUUAGUAGCGGCGAGCGAAACGGGAAGAGCCCAAACCAACAAGCUUGCUUGUUGGGGUUGUAGGACACUCUAUACGGAGUUACAAAGGACGACAUUAGACGAAUCAUCUGGAAAGAUGAAUCAAAGAAGGUAAUAAUCCUGUAGUCGAAAAUGUUGUCUCUCUUGAGUGGAUCCUGAGUACGACGGAGCACGUGAAAUUCCGUCGGAAUCUGGGAGGACCAUCUCCUAAGGCUAAAUACUCUCUAGUGACCGAUAGUGAACCAGUACCGUGAGGGAAAGGUGAAAAGCACCCCGGAAGGGGAGUGAAAUAGAACCUGAAACCGUGUGCUUACAAGUAGUCAGAGCCCGUUAAUGGGUGAUGGCGUGCCUUUUGUAGAAUGAACCGGCGAGUUACGAUUUGAUGCAAGGUUAAGCAGUAAAUGUGGAGCCGUAGCGAAAGCGAGUCUGAAUAGGGCGUUUAGUAUUUGGUCGUAGACCCGAAACCAGGUGAUCUACCCUUGGUCAGGUUGAAGUUCAGGUAACACUGAAUGGAGGACCGAACCGACUUACGUUGAAAAGUGAGCGGAUGAACUGAGGGUAGCGGAGAAAUUCCAAUCGAACCUGGAGAUAGCUGGUUCUCUCCGAAAUAGCUUUAGGGCUAGCCUCAAGUGAUGAUUAUUGGAGGUAGAGCACUGUUUGGACGAGGGGCCCCUCUCGGGUUACCGAAUUCAGACAAACUCCGAAUGCCAAUUAAUUUAACUUGGGAGUCAGAACAUGGGUGAUAAGGUCCGUGUUCGAAAGGGAAACAGCCCAGACCACCAGCUAAGGUCCCAAAAUAUAUGUUAAGUGGAAAAGGAUGUGGCGUUGCCCAGACAACUAGGAUGUUGGCUUAGAAGCAGCCAUCAUUUAAAGAGUGCGUAAUAGCUCACUAGUCGAGUGACACUGCGCCGAAAAUGUACCGGGGCUAAACAUAUUACCGAAGCUGUGGAUUGUCCUUUGGACAAUGGUAGGAGAGCGUUCUAAGGGCGUUGAAGCAUGAUCGUAAGGACAUGUGGAGCGCUUAGAAGUGAGAAUGCCGGUGUGAGUAGCGAAAGACGGGUGAGAAUCCCGUCCACCGAUUGACUAAGGUUUCCAGAGGAAGGCUCGUCCGCUCUGGGUUAGUCGGGUCCUAAGCUGAGGCCGACAGGCGUAGGCGAUGGAUAACAGGUUGAUAUUCCUGUACCACCUAUAAUCGUUUUAAUCGAUGGGGGGACGCAGUAGGAUAGGCGAAGCGUGCGAUUGGAUUGCACGUCUAAGCAGUAAGGCUGAGUAUUAGGCAAAUCCGGUACUCGUUAAGGCUGAGCUGUGAUGGGGAGAAGACAUUGUGUCUUCGAGUCGUUGAUUUCACACUGCCGAGAAAAGCCUCUAGAUAGAAAAUAGGUGCCCGUACCGCAAACCGACACAGGUAGUCAAGAUGAGAAUUCUAAGGUGAGCGAGCGAACUCUCGUUAAGGAACUCGGCAAAAUGACCCCGUAACUUCGGGAGAAGGGGUGCUCUUUAGGGUUAACGCCCAGAAGAGCCGCAGUGAAUAGGCCCAAGCGACUGUUUAUCAAAAACACAGGUCUCUGCUAAACCGUAAGGUGAUGUAUAGGGGCUGACGCCUGCCCGGUGCUGGAAGGUUAAGAGGAGUGGUUAGCUUCUGCGAAGCUACGAAUCGAAGCCCCAGUAAACGGCGGCCGUAACUAUAACGGUCCUAAGGUAGCGAAAUUCCUUGUCGGGUAAGUUCCGACCCGCACGAAAGGCGUAACGAUUUGGGCACUGUCUCAACGAGAGACUCGGUGAAAUCAUAGUACCUGUGAAGAUGCAGGUUACCCGCGACAGGACGGAAAGACCCCGUGGAGCUUUACUGUAGCCUGAUAUUGAAAUUCGGCACAGCUUGUACAGGAUAGGUAGGAGCCUUUGAAACGUGAGCGCUAGCUUACGUGGAGGCGCUGGUGGGAUACUACCCUAGCUGUGUUGGCUUUCUAACCC
rnacentral:rRNA from 1 species